GAUGAACGCUGGCGGCGUGCCUAAUACAUGCAAGUCGAGCGAACAGACGAGGAGCUUGCUCCUCUGACGUUAGCGGCGGACGGGUGAGUAACACGUGGAUAACCUACCUAUAAGACUGGGAUAACUUCGGGAAACCGGAGCUAAUACCGGAUAAUAUAUUGAACCGCAUGGUUCAAUAGUGAAAGACGGUUUUGCUGUCACUUAUAGAUGGAUCCGCGCCGCAUUAGCUAGUUGGUAAGGUAACGGCUUACCAAGGCAACGAUGCGUAGCCGACCUGAGGGGCGGAUCGGCCACCUUGGAACUGAGACAGGGUCCAGACUACUACGGGAGGCAGCAGAAGGGAAUCGUCCGCAAUGGGCGAAAGCCUGGCGGAGCAACGGCGCGUGAGUGAUGAAGGUCUUCGGAUCGUAAAACUCUGUUAUUAGGGAAGAACAAAUGUGUAAGUAACUAUGCACGGCUUGACGGUACCUAAUCAGAAAGCCACGGCUAACUACGUG
rnacentral:rRNA from 1 species